rnacentral:rRNA from 1 species
GACGAACGCUGGCGGCGUGCUUAACACAUGCAAGUCGAACGAUGAAGCCGGAGCUUGCUCUGGUGAAUUAGUGGCGAACGGGUGAGUAACACGUGAGUAACCUGCCCUUGACUCUGGGAUAACUGCGGGAAACUGUAGCUAAUACCGGAUACGACCCUCGGAGGCAUCUCCUGGGGGUGGAAAGAAUUUCGGUCAAGGAUGGACUCGCGGCCUAUCAGCUAGUUGGUGAGGUAAAGGCUCACCAAGGCGACGACGGGUAGCCGGGCUGAGAGGGUGACCGGCCACACUGGGACUGAGAGACGGCCCAGACGCCUACGGGAGGCAGCAGUGGGGAAUAUUGCACAAUGGGCACAAGCCUGAUGCAGCAACGCCGCGUGAGGGAUGACGGCCUUCGGGUUGUAAACCUCUUUUAGCAGGGAAGAAGCGAAAGUGACGGUACCUGCAGAAAAAGCACCGGCUAACUACGUGCCAGCCGCCGCCGUAA